GUCAGUGCUAGCUCAGUAGUUAAGGCAUUGGAUUACUGGUCAGAAGGUCAUGAGUUCAAAUCCCAGCAGUGGCA